rnacentral:rRNA from 1 species
AGAGUUUGAUCAUGGCUCAGAAUCAACGCUGGCGGCGUGCCUCAGACAUGCAAGUCGAACGCGAAAGUUCCCUUCGGGGGGCGAGUAGAGUGGCGCACGGGUGAGUAACACGUAGGUAAUCUACCUUUGGAUUGGGAAUAACAACCGGAAACGGUUGCUAAUACCGAAUAAUGCAGCGGCACCUAAUGGUGACAGUUGUUAAAGCGGGGGAUCGAAAGACCUCGCGUCUGAAGAGGAGCCUGCGGCAGAUUAGCUAGUUGGUAAGGUAACGGCUUACCAAGGCUAUGAUCUGUAGCCGGCCUGAGAGGGCGGUCGGCCACACUGACACUGACAUACGGGUCAGACUCCUACGGGAGGCAGCAGUCGGGAAUUUUGGGCAAUGGGCGCAAGCCUGACCCAGCAACGCCGCGUGAAGGAUGAAAUCCUUCGGGAUGUAAACUUCGCAAGAACGGGAAGAAUAAGUAGGGGUUAAUAUCCCCUAUGAUGACGGUACUGUUUGUAAGCUCCGGCUAACUCCGUGCCAGCAGCCGCGGUA